UUUUACGAUUAAUUUUUUUUUAUCCUUCUCGCUUUCUCUCUCUCUCUCUCUCUCUCUCAUAGCUCUUUGCGGUCAUGACUAUUAAUCAAUUUCAAAACCUUUCUAUUUUUCUGUUCAUCGAAAAAAAAAAAAAAAACUUUCUAUUUUUCUAUUAUUUUCUUGGCAACCAAACAGAGUUCAUGACUAGUGUUUUUUUUUUUUUCGAUUUUCAUUUUGAUUUCCUCAUUAAGAUCAUCGCCAUCGAAUUGAUUUCACCAAGCUGGUACUACUACAUUCAGAUAUUCACACUUUUCCCUAUCCAAAACCUUCGAUUAGGUUUUUUUUUUUUUUUUUCGAGAUCUCGUAGUUUUAAAAACUUACUUCUGAUCAGUUUGUUUUUGCCUGGACUCGAAUUUUGUCCAUACUCUGCUAUUCGCUUUGAGUAUUUUGAACUUUUGUGGUUUUUGUUCUUGAAUUUGAAAAUUGAAAUGCUAUGUCAAAAUUGAAUUUGUGGUUUUGUGUAUUGCGUGCUUUUAAUGUGAUUGCAGGUGCAUUUGCAUUGGUAUUUCAGCUCAAUGAAUGGUCAAGGAGAGUUCAAAUUUCACUAUCUGUGGGAUUGAAAGCAAGAACGUCAGUUGGUGAGUAAGUGACCUCAGUACUCUCACUUUGAAGUCUCAACUGAUCUUCCUUCCCUUUUUGUCAUCCCAUUAGGUUAAGGGGAGGCGGUUAAAGAUAUGGUUCAUCAGAAUAUCUAACUAACUUCAUUUGGUUCUGUUUCAAAGGUUGAUAGUAACUUCAGAUACCAUUAGUAGGAAAAUUCCUUUUUCCAAAAGUAUUUGAAAGAACAAAGGCUUCCUCCUCAGACAUUUAUACCUCUUCAGUCAAUUCAUGUUAAGCCAAUCAUUGAGAGAUUGCGGGCCUUAGGUGUUACUGCAAAGCUGGUCUUUGAUGUAAUCCAAUAUCCUUUGCUAUAGCUUGUCUCUUUACCAGUUUACCUACACAUUCUGAUAGUGAAAUUUCAAUGUGUGCUGCACUGCCUAUUGGCAUACAUCUUUCUGGUGAUUUAUAUAUAACAGACUGAUCCUAAGUUGGUGGUUAAGAUACUUCUCAUUGCAAUUUAUCUAAUGAUUCUUUGCCUCUCUAACUCAUGAUAAUCACUCCAGGUUUUUUUUUAUCUUAUUUAUGGAAAUUUCUUUACCGUAUUUGUUAAUGAGCAUUUAGCAACUAAGUUCAUUGUCAUCUAUGGUUGCUCAAAGAAGAAAAAAUACUUUAACUUUUGAUAACCCCAACUAGUAAAAAGGUAAAGGAUGCUUUUGUGCGUGUGUGUGUGUGUGCGCUUUUGGGUUGACUUGUUCUGAUCUGAUUGGGAUGUUUUUAGGAUGACAUAUUGUCUUAGAGAAUCCUACGAAGAAGAUGUUGAUGCGAGUAGAACCUUGAGACGGUGUGAAGUUAGUGAUGAUCUUGAUGAAGGCAUGUAGCAAAGUAUGCAGCAAACCUUGAGAAGGACAAUUUCUAGGAGAUGGGUGAUACAGGUCCUUAUGGACCUUGCACUGAAAUACAUUAUGAUAGAAUUGGUAAUCGAGAUGCUGCAUCAUUGGUUAACAAUGAUGAUCCUACGUGCCUUGAGAUUUGGAACCUUGUCUUUAUUCAGGUAUAACUUUUGCCACCAUGUUUUGUGGAUUUCCAUUUAGCAUUCCUGAUAUAAUUUGUGUACUUCUUCAAAAGACUCCUUUCUGUAUUUAUGUAUAUUCUUCUUCUUCUUCUUCUUCUUCUUCUUCUUCUUCUUCUAUGUGGCCUAAGAAUGAAUUUGAUUUAUUAUUUACUCUCGUUUGAUUUUGACUUUUUUUGGUAGUUUAAUAGGGAAAGUGAUGGUUCUUUAAAACCCCUGCCUACUAAGCAUGUUGAUACGGGCAUGGGUUUCAAACGGUUGACUUCUAUAUUUUCAGUUCAAAUUACUAAUUAAAAAAAUAUAUUUUUUCAGCUUUAACUAUCCAUUGUAUUUGUACAGUUUUUUUUUAUUGUGUUAAAAGAGUAGUUGAUUGGUUGUUGUAAAUUUAAUUAGGAAUUGCAUAAUUAUGUUUACAUUAUAUUUUUAAUUAGGUUAUUAAAUUUUGAUCAAUGUAAAAAGCACAUCCAAAUUUAUUUAUUUUAAAGAAAAUACUUAUUUCAAUGGCUUUUAAUAAUACUUCGACGUUUAUUAAUCGUUGAUAAAAGUGUUAUAUUUUUUUCGACGGUUGGAUAGGCUAUGGAAAAAAAACUUUUCGACAUAGUUUUUAAUAGCGGUUCUCAACGGUUACUUUAACCGUUGAAAAUAAUAUUUUCAACUGUUUUUAGUAUUUUUUUCAACCAUUGAAAAUAACCAAAUUUCUUAUAGUGGAAAAAUAUGAAUUACAUCAUCAACAAACUGUGCAUACUACAAUGUCCUAGUUUGUUGCCUUCCCUUUUAGUGUAGAUAACUUUAGCUUGGUGAAAGAUAUGCAGUUGAUGUAGUGGUCAAAAGAUGAAGGGCUUGUUUGAUACAUGUGUUUAAACGCAUAUUUUCAGUUUUUGAACAACAUUACAUGUAUUUUCACACACUUUUUCACCCAUACGUAUUUCCAAAAAAUACAAACAAUGUUACUAGAAAACAUUAUCAAACAGGUCUGAAAUUUUCAAAAUACAACCCCAUCAGUAUUCACCUUAUACCAUCCAUUUUGAGAAGGAACCCAUCUGAUUAGAGAUGAUUGCCCAUGUCUCACUUCUUUUCGAUUCUUCCAUAUGCACCAUGCAACCAUCAGUAUUACAGCAAACAUCAAGCCAUAAGCUGCCACAGACUAUCAAUAAACUCCCUAAUUCCAGCUAUUAUACUUCCCAUGCCUUCCUACACUAACACAGCAUAUGUAAUGUAAGGUCAAUUAUGGAUCUGAAUCACACUCUUCAUAAACUGAGUCAUCAAUGAUCUUUCUAAAGAAUAAAUUCAUUUUUGUGGGAAGGAUAUUUUGACAUGCUUUCCAAUCGAAUAUUUUGACCUUGUUUGGGAUUCUAGCCACCCAAAUUGGUAUGAGCACCAAGGUUCACUACCUAAGCAUCUAGAUUUGUUAUCUUUGAAAAUUUUGUUAAUUAGUUUAUGGAUUUGAUUAUUAGGAAGUGUAAGGUUGAAUUUAUUUAAUUAUGUGUUGGUUUUAUUCCGUGCCAAAUUUAUUUGUAAUUUAGUAAUUAGAUAUCAUGUAUUUAAGUGGGAAUUAUGUAAGGGUUGUGUGUGAGAGUGUGAAGAAACUCAAGUGUGUAUGCGCAUUAGAAGAUUCUCGCAACUGGAUCUCGCGAGUGACUAGCGACUGGCAACUUGCCAAAAUGCCACACGUAUAAUGCAUGCAGGAAGUUGAAGGAUUACGACAAUUGGAGCAUUACAGGACAGAAAGUACAAUUUGGCCUAGCAGUUAUCUCGCGACUCAUUCCACUUGUGAGACUAAGUCACCAAAAUGCCUUGUUAUGCAGAAAAAUGACCUUUCAUAUUCCUCAUGUAUACUACUAUAAAUACCCUUUAUAUUCAUGAAAUUAGAGAGCUUAUAGAGAGAAUUUUGAGAGAGAAAUUUUAGAGA